GACGAACGCUGGCGGCGUGCCUAAUACAUGCCAGUCGAGCGCUGAAGGAGGAGCUUGCUCUUCUGGAUGAGUUGCGAACGGGUGAGUAACGCGUAGGUAACCUGCCUGGUAGCGGGGGAUAACUAUUGGAAACGAUAGCUAAUACCGCAUAAGAGUAGAUGUUGCAUGACAUUUGCUUAAAAGGUGCAAUUGCAUCACUACCAGAUGGACCUGCGUUGUAUUAGCUAGUUGGUGGGGUAACGGCUCACCAAGGCGACGAUACAUAGCCGACCUGAGAGGGGGAUCGGCCACACUGGGACUGAGACACGGCCCAGACUCCUACGGGAGGCAGCAGUAGGGAAUCUUCGGCAAUGGACGGAAGUCUGACCGAGCAACGCCGCGUGAGUGAAGAAGGGUUUCGGAUCGUAAAGCUCUGUUGUAAGAGAAGAACGAGUGUGAGAGUGGAAAGUUCACACUGUGACGGUAUCUUACCAGAAAGGGACGGCUAACUACGUG
rnacentral:rRNA from 1 species